GACCAGUGAUGCUAGAAAAUAUUUGCUACUCUUGAUGGAAUUGUAUUUCCACUUGAUGAUUGUUUUCCACCAAGAUCUCUGAGGUC